UUUAAUUUGAUCAUCCGUUUU
rnacentral:piRNA from 1 species